GAUGGGAUAAGGAGUUCUUUUUUAACCACUGGUUUGUUUUGAAGACACAAGCAAAUCAUUUAGAAAGUGUUUUGAAAGUUACCAGAACACACCACCCUUGAUACUGAUUGAUGGAUGGCCAGCCAUGGCUGCAGGCUACCAGUGUCUUGAAGUCAAUGUCCUCUAUGGCCAUUGGACCAUGUCCACUGCCACUAAGCGUGAAUGAACUGACUGAACCACUUAUCAGAAACUUCUACUGGGAAUACAAGACUGAAGUAUGAUUUGCUACACAUGUCUUCCACUUGUCUAUGAACAAAGGCAGACCUCAUUAUUGUCAGUAAUAGCUCUGUGAAGUAACUGAAACAAGGAAAUAAAACUUCAGAGUCUGAGAAAGUAAUGAUGUGAAACCACAUUGACUCGGCUUUGAGGAAAAGAUUACUACCAUGUGUCUAAAUAAUUGUUAAUCAUUGCAUACAAAACACAUGGCAUCAAUGCUCUAAUAUCCAUUAAGAUUGAUCAUUGAUUUGUAUCAAAGUCCACAAACAGUCCUCUGACCAUAGAAUGGGAUUGAAAGGAUUAAGCCCUUUCUGUACUACAAUGAAGCCCAUGCAGGAAGAUGCAAUGUUAUUUCGAAGUGAUCAUUACCUAUUCAAACCAGCAAAAGCAGAAUAAAUCAUUAGAUGCAAUGCCUCGUAAAAAGCAAUCAGGUAAUGUUA